AUCUACACUGGAUAGUUAGAGCAGAGAAGGGACUUGUUAAAAGAGAUUAUUUAGCUAAGAAUUACGGGGGGGGGGACAUGGAAAUGGUCUUGAAUUUAAGCUUCUAGGAACAAGACCCAAGCCAUACUGAAUGCACAGCCCAGAGAGGAGACCUCAGCCACUGCUGCUCUGGGCUCAAUUCCCUGCCAAUCUUAACAGCUCCAUGGCACUCCUGUGGUAGGAACUCAUUAUUGCAACCGCUGAGAAAUCAUGGCCGUUGCCACUACCAGCCUCAAAGCUGGACACUUGUGUUUCUACCAACCACGGCAGAAAGUGAAGCCCUGUGUCAGCCUGCUUCCUGCCUCCCUCGAUCAAGGCUAGGGAGGAGGCAGAACAGUUACAAACAUUGACUUCAAACAACACAACACAUUUCUUCCUCCUACUAUAGCUCCAGCAAGGGCCAGGCUUGGAUGGAGAAGUCCCGUUCACUGUGGUCACUAAUGGACCAGGCUGCAGGGAGUUAGUUCUACCAUUGACAGACAGGGUCUUACUCUGUAGCCCAGGUAGGCCUGAAACUUGCAGAAGUCCUCCAGCCUCAGCCUCCCAGGAGCUAGGAUUACGGGUAAGAGAUUCCACCUCCAUACGUAUCACCUUCCUAACAGGGUGGGUUGGCUGCUCCUAGGCAAACAAGGCAAAGCAUCCUCCGAGCCUUCAAUCCCAGCCAGCACUUCAGGAGGCAAAGGCAGGAGCAUUUGGAUUCCAAAGCCAGCUUCAGGUACAUAUCAAGGCCAGCCUGGGCUACCUGAGACAUUGUCUCAAACAAACAACAGGCGCAAGCAUAUGCCGCUGUUCUCUGUCAUUGUAUUGAUCAAAUCUCAUAGCCAAACCUGACAUCAAAGAACACAGGA
rnacentral:lncRNA from 1 species